CAGCCGCGGUAAUACGGAGGGUGCAAGCGUUAAUCGGAAUUACUGGGCGUAAAGCGCACGCAGGCGGUCUGACAAGUCAGAUGUGAAAUCCCCGGGCUUAACCUGGGAACUGCAUUUGAAACUGUCAGGCUGGAGUCUUGUAGAGGGGGGUGGAAUUCCAGGUGUAGCGGUGAAAUGCGUAGAGAUCUGGAGGAAUACCGGUGGCGAAGGCGGCCCCCUGGACAAAGACUGACGCUCAGGUGCAAAAGCGUGGGGAGCAAACAGGAUUAGAUACCCCGGUAGUCCCUGUCUCUUAUACACA
rnacentral:rRNA from 1 species